rnacentral:lncRNA from 1 species
UCUCUGCAACUGAAAAAAAGAUAUCUUACUGAGCUCUAGCCUCAAGAAAUCAGAGUCACCAGCUCCAGACUGAACUGCAUAAAAUGAAAUCUGAGAUAAAAAAUGAAGAGCUGAAUUUGAAGAGCUACAGAAUGAACUGGGUAUAUCCAGCUAGUUAAAUGGGCAGGCCAAAUGUUCAGCUGGCAGACCUAAAGACGAUUGUUCAGCAGCACAGGCAGCCUUCAUUGGACAAUCAGAAUGUGCCUAAGCUGAAGAAGCUUGCUGGCAUGACGCCUUUGUCACUCUUAAAUCUGAUUUCACAGAACUUGAAAAGAAGGUUCACUCUGUUUCUGAAGUGAUGACAGCAUACG